rnacentral:lncRNA from 1 species
UCAUAUGAAGCAAUCAGUCAGCAAUAGUGGUCAGCUGGGAACGUCCCCUGCACGGCACCUCCCCGAGACGGGGGACUCCCUGCUCGAAGCUGCCUGUCCAGACAGCCUUCGUUCAGGGCACAGUAACAACACAGCGAUGCACCUGGGCAUCUGCAACUCCACUGCAUUCCUCCAGAGUGUGUGCAAGCCAGCCUCCCAUUACACGGUCCCCAGGGCCACAUCAUGGCAGUCGUGGGGCCUUCUGUGCCAAAUAGGAAAAGUCCUGUUUUACAGCUGCUUUUGUAAAAGGACAAAUACAAUCUGGGCUUAGGUCAUUAUUUUCAUACUCAAUUUUCGUCUUAUUUCAAAAGAACUUAAAACAUCUCUGUGGGGCUCUGGACACCGUGCCUGCUGUCAACCCUGUGGUGCUUCUAUGUACUCAGCUGAGUGGCACCUUAUUAUCACUUUACUUUGCACCUUCAGUAACUAAUGAGGAUGAAUAUUGAACAACUUUUGAUUCUUGGUCUUUUGUCCUGAAAAUGAUUUGAAUAUACCCUCUUCCCUCUUAUCAUUGGAGAUUUGAUAUUUUUCUUUAAUUUACAUACAAACUUUUUUUCAUGAUUAUACAAACAAUAUGUAUAUACUGAAGGAAUCUGGAAAAAAUUUAAAAAAUCAUAAGAAUGCAAGGACCCUUCAGUAUCAGUUCAUAGGCCACUGCCAGAGGUGCACUUAUGUCGAGGUCUUUUUUCUGUGCACAUAUAUUAUGCCUUUGAUUUUAAGCAAAACUAGAUUCAUACUUUUCUGUCUUUUCCCAUAAAUGGGAAAUGUUUUAUGAUGAGCGUUUUCCACAUUACAAAAUAUUUUUCAAAAACAUUAUUGAUGGCUGUGUUUUACCAGUGUCAUGAUUGAUCUGUUCCUUUAUUGUAAUUCUCGAACAGAAACCCAUUCUGCCCUUCGAUCAUUUCCUCAGAAUAAAUUCUGAGAAGUAGAAUUCACAGGCAGAGUUCACAGACACUACAUAGCUGUUUCUAGGUCAAACCCAGCACGACAUUCUUCAUUCUCCCACAUGAGCUCCAAGAGCACCCCUUUCCCUGCACACUUGCACACACUUGGCAUCAUCUCCACUUUUUAUAUUUACCAUUUUCAUACAUCAAUAGUAUUAUUGGUUUGUGUUUUUUGACCUUUUUCUUCUCUUCAUAUGAAUUGUCUAUUCCAUUCUUUGUUCUUUAUACACACAGUGCCUUGGCACAUAGAUUUUUACCUUUGUUACCACAUUUUUAAUGAACAGAGAUGUUCAAAUUCUGUGUAACUUGGUCUUUUUGGUUUGUUUAUUUAUAUUUUUUCUUGGCCCUUAGCCCCUUCUUUAAAUCCUUUUUUGGGGGAUCCCUGGGUGGCUCAGUGGUUUGGCGCCUGCCUUUGGCCCAGGGCAUGAUCCUGGAGUCCCGGGAUUGAGUCCCACGUCGGGCUCCCAGCAUGGAGCCUGCUUCUCCCUCUGCCUGCGUCUCUGCCUCUCUAUGUCUAUCAUGAAUAAAUAAAUAACUCUUUAAAAAAAUAAAAAAAAUAAAUAAAUCCUUUUUUGGUUACAUAUUUUGCAUUGAACUCUUAUAUCCAUCUGUUUGGGAUGUAACUUCCAAGGUCCCUGCAUCAGUCUAGAAUGGCAUUCCUCACUGUUCUUAGACCUCUUUUCUGUUUGUAGCUUCAUAAUUCACUUUAUAUGUAGUAGGACCAGACAGUACUUUCUGUGUUUUUUUUUUUUUUUUUUUAAGAUUUUGUUUAUUUGUUCCUAGAGACACAGAGCGAGAGACAGAGACAGAGACACAGGCAGAGGGAGAAGCAGGCUCCAUACAGGAAGCCCGAUGCGGGACUCAAUCCUGGGUCUCCAGGAUCACACCCCAGGCUGCAGGCGGCGCUAAACCACUGCGCCACCGGGGCUGCCCUCUGGGUUUUUUAAAAGGUUUUUUAAAAAUCUAAUUAUUCCAGAUAACCCAAGAUUAUUCUUCUCAGAGUUUAACCUCUUUUUGCACCUGCAUAUCUCAUUGGGGUUUGACUAGAACUGACUAGUGUGUGAAGAAUUCCUAUAGUUCUAUACAAUAUUCAAUCUUCUCAUCCAAGUACCAGUCAUUCAAAUCUGUCUCUAACCAUCAGAAAAGCUGUAUAGUUUUCUUCAUAGAUGUUCUUACAUAUAUGUUCAGUACGUAUGUUUAUUAACUUUAUUCUAAUUUUGUGGGGUUUCUAAGUCAAGUCUUUCUGUUUUAUAUAGGACAACUGUUUAUUGUAUAUAUCUUUUUGUAUAUUUAUUUUAUAUCUAGCAACUUCAUUGAAUUAUUUUAGGUCUCUAACAUUUUAUUGGGCUUUCUAGGUAAACUCAUAUAACUUGGAAAUAAAAAGCUUGCCACUCCUUUUCAUACAGAAAGCCUUUUAUUUUGUUUCUUUUAAAAACCUACAUUGGCUAGCACUUCUAAAGCAGCACUCAGUGUUGGUGGCAGUGGUCAUCAGUGGCAGACUCUAUUUGAAGUGGGAGGCCAUUAUGUCACCCCAAAACACUUUGGCCUCUAAAGACUCUGUUACAGCUGGGGUGACCACAUGGCCCAAUUCUGAACAAUAAGGCUCUAGUGGAAAUCUGCCAGAGUUUUGGGGAAGUCUUUGUUUUGUAUUCCUUCCCUGUCCCCUUCUUCCUACUUGGAACUUGGAUGCAAUGCCUAGAGGUAUAAUAGCCAUCUUGCACCAUGAGACAAUUGAGAACAAAAGUCACAUGUGGAGUGGAAAAAUAGAAGGAUCCUAGGCCUUAGAUGAAAUUCUUGAGCAACUGUUUCAGCCACCAACAUUCAACCUUCUGAGUUCUUGUUGUGUAAGAAAAUAAACAGUUUAAGUCC